rnacentral:rRNA from 1 species
AGAGUUUGAUCAUGGCUCAGAACGAACGCUGGCGGCGCGUUUUAAGCAUGCAAGUCGAACGGUAUACAGUCUUCGGAUUGUAGAGAGUGGCGAACGGGUGAGUAACACGUAGAUAAUCUACCUUGAAGUGGGGGAUAGUCCAUGGAAACAUGGAGUAAUACCGCAUAUGUCUUAGGAUGAAAGUUCCAAUUGGAACGCUUUAGGAUGAGUCUGCGGCUCAUUAGCUAGUUGGUAGGGUAAAGGCCUACCAAGGCAACGAUGAGUAGCCGGCCUGAGAGGGUGAACGGCCACACUGGGACUGAGACACGGCCCAGACUCCUACGGGAGGCAGCAGCUAAGAAUCUUCCGCAAUGGACGCAAGUCUGACGGAGCGACGCCGCGUGAACGAUGAAGGCGGAAACGUUGUAAAGUUCUUUUCCUGAGGAAGAAUAAUGAGAGGAGUGGAAAGCCUUUCAGAUGACAUUAAUCAGGGAAUAAGCCCCGGCUAAUUACGUGCCAGCAGCCGCGGUAAUACGUAUGGGGCAAGCGUUGUUCGGAUUUAUUGGGCGUAAAGGGCGCGCAGGCGGUUUAGCAAGCUUGAUGUGAAAUAUCCCGGCUUAACCGGGAGAACGCGUUGGGAACUGCUAAACUAGAGUUUAGGAGGGGAAACUGGAAUUCCUGGUGUAGGGGUGAAAUCUGUAGAUAUCAGGAAGAACACCAAUGGCGAAGGCAAGUUUCUGGCCAUAGACUGACGCUGAGGCGCGAAAGCGUGGGGAGCGAACAGGAUUAGAUACCCUAGUAGUCC